rnacentral:lncRNA from 1 species
GUGGAUAUGGAAGAAGGCUUGGGACUUGCCUUACCUAAGUUGAAUCCUCUUGAAGUUGUAUUAUCGCCACGCCUUGGAACUGAGUUUUACGAAUGCCUUUAAGAUGGUGAAAAAUAUAUACUAGAAAUUUAGCGUUUUAUAUUUUGAUUAAAUAAUUAUUGGAUGUGAUAAUGGCAUGGUGAUACAGCUUUUAGUUGAGCAUUAAAUAAGUUUACUGAAUGCACUUGGGAAUAAAUGUAAGCACAUUAUUAAAUUUUAAAGUCGAUAUUAGUAAAAAGAUUUUAUUUGAAUAUCAUGUUUAAUUGGAAUAAAAUUAGACCCGAAAUCUAUAACAAAUUACAACACUUAUGCUUAUAGCCGAGAUAUUCUCAUGAACUACCUGGUUGAAGAAAAGUGUGUUUGACAUUGCCAAGUAAAAUUAUUGUAAGGGAUUGAAAUGUUAAAAAAAAAUGUUUAAAAUAAUAAAAGUCUAGUUAUGUAUAUGGUGUUAUAUAUGUGCAAGAUUGAGAGUACUUAUAUUGUUUAUUAUAAUUGUCGAAACCAUUUUUUUGAAAACAAAAAUUUAGGUUAUCGACUUAAAAAAAUAAAAAUUGGAGUCGCCACCGAUCCUUGAUUGAGGUGUGAUCGGCUCACCUUAAAAAUGAUUUUGGUCUGCGAAAUUUGAGAAAACAGGUUCGGGGGUCAGUUACGCACGAGGAAGGGUUAGCACCCCCGUAACGCCUAAAAAUCGGUACCAAAUUGAUUAUUUAAUGUCUUAGUGUCGAUGGUUAAAAAGAUUUUUAAAAAAAACUCAAAUGAUGAAAUCUGAAAAUGAUAAUCAAUUGUUCAAGUUAGAUAAAGAAAUUGAGACCCAAUACGUUAGGGUACAAUUUCUCAAAACCUCCUCCCCCCGAACUUUGAAUAUCGCUCUUUUGUUUUUAAAGAAAAUCUUCAUUUCGAGAAGGCAAUAUGUCAUGCCUAAUACGUCAGGACAUCACAAAUUAAGUUCCCGAAAAUGAUUUUUACUUAUACAUUUUGAAUAACGAAUAUUCUCGGUUAUUUGGAAUUAACAAAGAAAAUCGGAACCCAAUACGUUAGGGCUCAAUUUCCUCACUACACCAGAAUAGGCUUUUAGCGGCACUUUUUGCGGCGUUUGGAACAAAAGCGCCACAAAAAAUCGAGCAUUAGCGGCGAUUUAUCCAAAGCGCCGCUAAAGAUAGAGCUUCAGCGGCGAUUAUCUGGAAGCGCCGCUAAAAAUAGGAAUUAGCGGCGUUUUACAUAAAGCGCCACAAAAAACCUAAGACCAACGGCGUCGUUUUUGCGAUUUUUUUAAACCUUUAGCGGCGUUUUUGUGUAAGCACUGCUAAUGCUCGGAUCUUUAGCGGCGUUUUUGUCUAGGUGCCGCUAAUGCUCGAGUCUUUAGCGGCGUUUUCAUGUAGGCGCCGCUAAUGCUCGGAUCUUUAGCGGCGUUUUUGUCUAUGCGCCGCUAAUGCUCGGAUCUUUAGCGGCGUUUUUAUACAAGCGCCGCUAAUACUCGGAUCUUUAGCGGCAUUUUUAACUGAGCGCCACUAAUUCUCUUGUCUUCAGCGGCGUUUUUACCGAAGCGCCGCUAAUAGUAACAAAAAUCUUAUAAGUUGAAAUAAUUAAUAUUUUGUUCUAUUUAUUAUAUAGUGGGACAAUUUACAUUUAAAUUAUAAUUAACAAAUAAUAUUGAUUAAUAUAAAAAGUUUUUAUUAAAGAGAAGUCGUAUAUAUAUAACAGCGAACUAUUUAUAACAGUUGAUUUAAAUUACUACUUUAUGAAAGAAAAUAUAUUAAAUUAUGAAUAAAAUAAAAUAUAAUAAAACUUAAAUUUUUGUAUUAAUGUAAAGAAUAAAUUAAAAAUAGAAUUAACUUUUUAUAAGAGUAAUAAAUUUUGGUAGUAUAUAUUGUUCGACUAAUUUAUACAAAAUAUAUAUAUUUUAACAAUUAAUUAUUGACUAUAUUUUAUGAUUAAUAUAUAUAUUAAACAUUUAGGGAAUUUUUUUAUGGACGGUAUUUUAAGGAGGACGGGGUAUAGAUUUAAGGUAAUUGAGAUUUAAGGUUAAUUUAGGGGUUAGAGGUUUAAGGGUUUGAGAUUUAGGGUUAAUUUCAACAGUCAUGCAUGUUAAUUAGGGUUUAAUUAAUUAGAUUUGUUUAUUAUUUUUUAUGGUGAAUAUAUACAUUCUUAUAUGUAAAAUAGAUAUUCCAGAAUAAAUUUAAUAUAUUGAAUAUUAUAAUAGGUAGAUCAUGAUCACUUUAUGCAUGUCGAUUGAUAAUUUAUAAUUUGAGACUUGUAAAAUGAUAAUUAUCUUGUAUAUUUAAAAACAUUAAUUAACCGGCCCUAAUAACCAUUUGAUUUUUUUGAUAUAUAUAUGCAUGGCUAUAUAUAUGGUUAAUUAGUAGCAAUAUACCAGAUGCAAAAAUAUCGAUACUUAAGUUCAAAAAUGAUAAAAACUUAUAUUUAGAUCCAUACGGAAAUUUUUGUCAUAAAGAUAAUAUUGCUAGCAUAUUUCAACUAAUUUGUACACAACAUUUUAAACUACUAUAUAUAUAUAAUUAACUUGCAUGUUUAAUAGAUUUUCACUAUAUUUUGUGAUUAUUAAUAUAAAUUUAGGGAAUUUUUUGGGUUUGGUCGGGGUCAUGAUAGGGUUUCUUAAGAGGUUAAUAUUAGAUUGAUUAAUUUUUACGGUAAAUAUAUAUAUUUGUAAAAUAAAUCCAGAUGAUCAAUAAAUUUAAUUAAUAUAUAUUAAUGAAGUUUAGUAUAGUUUAUAUUAUAAUUAUUAAUACAUAUAAUAGGUGCGUGGUAGUUAGAUGAUCAUUUUAUGGAUGCAUGUUAAUUUAUAAUUUGAAGAUUGUUAAAUGAUACAAUUAACUAAUAAUAUAUAGUAACGUUGUAUAUUUAAAAACGUUUAACCGAAAUAUUGAACGGCCAUUUGAUAUUUUUGAUAUAUAUGGAUAUAUAUAUAUAUAGUUAUUAACUAUUUAAUUUGUAUAUAUAGGACCAAAAUAAUCUUGGUAUAAAUAAAUAAACAAAUAAAUAAGUAGGUAAUUAUGUAUUUUUUAAAUAAAUAGGUAAUUAAUUAUUUAAAUGUAAGAUCCACAAAAAAAGAGAGAGAAAUUUAGCGGCGUUUCUAUAGAAAAACGCCGCAAAAGGUAGCCUUUACCGGCGUUGUAGUAAAAAACGCCACAAAUAUUGCAAUAUACGACGUCGUUACGUGUUAGGGAAUCAGUUUCUAUUGUGGCGUUUUAUAGGUAAGCGCCGCUAAUAUUCUUGAUACUCUAUCAGAACGGCGUCGUUUCAGUUGAAUGAUGUACUCUAUUACUGGCGUUUUUCGGGAAAACGCCGCAAAUAUGUCUACAAUUUUGUGAAAACAUCACCGUUUGUUUGUGUAAUUGAAAAUUUGAUGUUUAGGGGUUAGGGGGAUUUAGGGUUUAAGGGUUAUGCUUUAGGGGUUAGGGGAUUUAGGGGUAAGGGGUUAGGAUGGAUUUGGGGUUUAGGGUUUCAACGGUUAUGUUAGAGUUUAAGUUAUUAGAUUAAUUAGUUUUAUUAAUUUUUAUAUCAAAUAUGUUCUUAUAUAUUUUUAAAAUAUAUAAUAAUAAAUUUAAUAUAUUGAAAUUAUGAGUGUAUAGUUUAAAUUUAUUUAUUUAUCAAUAAAUUAAAUAUUAUAAAUUUCAAACUUUAUACAAAAAAAUAAAUAUUAUAAAUGUAAUAUUACAAAUUAAAAGUUUUUACUAUUAAUUAUUGUUUAAUCAAUUAUAACUAUUUUAUGAUUAUUAAAGAUUUAGGGAUUAUUUUGGAUGGCCGUGUUAUUUUAAGGAUUAGGGGGUAUAUAUGAAUUUAAGGUUUAGGAUAUAAGGGUUAGGGGUUUAGGGGUUAUGAGUUACGGGCUAAGGGAUAGUGGUUUAGAAUUUAGGGUUUAGGGUUUCAGGGGUCGGAUAAAGGUUUUAGGUUAGUUUAGAUUAAUUUCUUUAAAUAAUGUUUUAAAAAAUCAAUUUAAAGUACCAAUUGAUAUCAAUUAUAUUAAUGUUUUUGUCAUUUAAAUAUUAUUUUAAAUAGAAUUAAGUUUAAUAAGUUAAAAAAUAGUUUGAAAUAUGCAUUAAAGCUUUAUUAAACGGCGCCAUUUCAGAUUCUAAAUUCAAUUUUUAGUGGCGUUUUUUUGGAAACGCCGCAAAUAUACAAGAAAUAGUGGCGUUUUCCUAACAAACGCCGGAAUGGUGUCUUAAAAUUUUGGCAAAACGACGCCGUUUCUUUCAUCGUGUUUUAACUUAUCAUUUUCUCUAUAAGGCAGAACACAAUAAACACAGAAACAAACAGCCUUCAGACAAAACGGAAGCGAUAGAAAUGAAAGAGAAAAAACAAAGGAAAAAAGGGAGAGGAGAACUCAUAAAUCGGGUGAAACGAAGCAACAACUGAGCCAAUCUUGACAGGAUACUAUCAAAGUUGCGGAAUUUUUGGGGAAAAGGUAAGCUUUUUUUCUUUUAAAAUGAUGUAUCUUGAUUUAGGGUUUGGGUUAAGUGUAAUUUGGUAAAUUGGGGUUUAAAUAAUAAAUUCAAUCACCAAGCUCUGGCCUGUUUGUUUGGGAAUUCGGGGAAUUUGGGAAUUUUUUCGUGUCUAGGGUUUGGGAAGAAGUACCGAUCCUGUGUUUGCUUUCUAGUUUGUUCUUCUCAUUGUUGAAGAGUUAACAUUAACAGUUAACAUUCAGGAGGGACAUAGGCUUCUAAUUUUGUAAGAUGCCAUAAUAAAUUGUGGUUGGGGUAUUCUUUUGCAAAUAAUUUGUUAUAUUUUGUUAACAUGUUGGUAAAUCGAUUAUGUGUAUUGAAGAAGCAAAUCUGUCUUAAAAAAUGUGCUCAUUAUGUAUGUAUAUAUUUACGAAUGAUGGUGACUUGCUCUAAUUUGUUUGAAAUCGAAAUUCAUUUUGAAUUGCGCUUUCUUGAUGCACCAGUAAACUUCGCUGUCAACCGAUAAUUGCUUGGUAUUCUAAGGUUAAUCUUUGGGCACUUAAUUUGGUUAAUUGGCAUUUUAACGCUGACAAGUUAAACUUUAGGUUUGGUUUAUGAGAGAUUGGGUUUGGGGAUUAGGCCUCUUUUGGCGAAAAUAAAAUUACAUAACUCACAUGUUAAAGUUGUAGCUAUUAUUCUUAUGCAUCGUUGGAACAUAUAUUGAGAUUAUCUGGUUGCAAUAUUUUGCAGUGACUACCUAUUCCAGCUUCUGCUUAUUGGAGAUUCUGGUGUUGGAAAAUCUUGUCUUCUUUUGAGAUUUGCUGUAAGUUUCUUGACUUACGUUUCCAUUUGAAAGCAACUGUCUACAUUGUAGACAUCUAUUUUCGUUAUCAUACAUUCUUAGUUUCUUAUAUGAUUGCCCCGAAUGUUUAUAUCCAUGUAUGAUGCUAGAUUGUAAUAAUAUUUCAUUAAAAAAUUGCACUGCAUAUAACGUGUCUUGAGAGAGUGAAAUGUGCACUUCACGAGUUUGGACAUAGGCAGUUGGGGCCUCUGAAUCUUGUCACUAUAUUUAGUUGUAUAUGAAGAUAUCAAACAUGUGGAAUUUUGGAUAUUUCCAGAUGGUUAUGCAGGACAAAAAGUUUGGCCUACACUUCUAUGAAUUUGAAGAAUUUGUGUAUUUUUGUGUUUCAAAACAUUCAUUUUCUUGGAUAGCAAGAUUAUCAUUCAUGUACUGCAAAGAACAAGUUUUAAAGGUCAUUUUUUAUUGGAGUAUUAUUUUUUACUCAUGUUUUUAGUAUAUGGGUUAACAAUAAACUAAUUCAAUUGGUAAUAUUUAGCCACUUUUAUGAUUUAUUUUUAGCAAAAGAGGGGAAUUUUUCGCUUAUUUUGAACAAGCCUCAUUUUUUACAAGAGUUAUUACUCAUCAAGUUUAAAUUUGUACUAACUAUUUUAUUUUAUUUUAUGUCUAACCAUUGUAAUACAUAUAUAAUAAAUAAGUUUUUUCCUCAUAUUAUUACUCUAGUAGCCAAACGAGGCAUUAUUGUGUAAUGAUAGCAAAAAAAAGUACCAAACUUGAAAAUGUUAAUAAUGACGACCAAAAUUUUAGAAGUUUUAAUAACAAUAAUAAUAUAAAGGAGAACACAUAUUCUUGAAAGUUUUAACAACAAUAAAAAAAAGUAAUAAAUUUAUAAGAUAUUGACAUUGAUUUAUUUUUAUUUAGUUAUAGAAUAUUUAAAAGCAUAAUACAAGUUUUAUUAAAAAUUUAAAAGCAAUGGGUUUUUUUUUAGGUUUUAAAUGGGUUUAUAUAUUAAAAAAAUUAAGUUUUUUUUUAAAAUUUUUCAAUCUGCAGUACCUUAUCACUGAUAAUUUGCAUGGUAUUUAUUGCUCUACAUGAUGUUGCUGUCAAUCUCUACAUGCAUAUGGGCACCAAUUCGAGCAGUAAUACCCAUCUCUAAUUACAUAACUUAGUUAAUUAAUAUUAUACAUAACUGACAACUUACAUAACUUAUAACUUACAACUUACAUAACUUACAUUUUUUUAAUUAUUCAUAAAUUACAUAACAUACAUUAAUAUUAUACAUAAAUUACAUAACUUAGUUAAUUAAUAUUAUACAUAAAUUACAUAACUUAAUUUUAUGUUCUUAUACAUAACUUACAUUAAUAUUAUACAUAAAUUACAUAACUUAAUUAAUUAAUUAAUUAAUAUUAUACAUAAAUUACAUAACUUAAUUUUAUGUUAUUAUACAUAACUUACAUUAAUAUUAUACAUAAAUUACAUAACUUAAUUAAUUAAUAUACAUAAGUUACAUAACUUACAUUAAUAUGAUACAUAAAUUACAUAACUUAGUUAAUUAAUAUUAUACAUAUGUUACAUAACUUACAUUAAUAUGAUACAUAAAUUACAUAAGUUAGUUAAUUAAUAUUAUACAUAACUUACAACUUACAUAACUUACAACUUACAACUUACAUAACUUACAUAACUUACAUUUUUUUAAUUAUUCAUAAAUUACAUAACUUAAUUAGUUAAUAUACAUAAAUUACAUAACUUAAUUAAUUAAUUAAUAUUAUACAUAAAUUACAUAACUUAGUUAAUUAAUAUUAUACAUAACUUACAACUUACAUAACUUACAACUUACAUAACUUACAAUUUUUUAAUUAUUCGUAAAUUACAUAACUUACUUAAUUUUCAUAAUAAAUAACUUACAUAACUUGCAACUUACAUAACUUAUACGACAUACAUAACUUACAUAGCAUAAUUUGACUAAUACACAACUUACAUAAUUUUCAUAAUAAAUAACUUACAUAAUACAUAACUUACGUAGCUUAGUUAUACUUAUUCCUAAAUCCUAAACCCGUGCAAUUUAUUCUCAAGAUUAGGCUUCAAGAAAUAAGAAAUGGACCGGUCUUGGAUGAAUUUGUCAAGGGUAAGCGACGGUUAUCGAAAUGGAGUACAAACUUUUCUAGAUUUUGCAUUUCAACAUGCAAGCCAAGAGAACAUGAUUCUUUGCCCGUGUAAGAAGUGUGUCAACAUAAACUGGCAUUAUCGUGAAGUUGUAUACGAGCAUCUAAUUGUUGAUGGGUUUGUUCGUGGUUAUAAACAAUGGUUUUUUCAUGGAGAAUGCCCGCCUAGUACUUCCUCUUCAAGGAUGGAUGUAUCUUAUGAUAGUACUGCCUACCAUCAGUCUGUUAGAGGGGAUGACAUGGAAGGGAUGUUGCGUGAAGCAUUUAAUAUUCAGAGUCAUGGUUUACAGUCGUUCCCACCUGACUUUCUACCAUCUGAUGAUUGUAAUCUCGGUGGAAAUGCUGGUGCCCAACCCGGAAGAAGUGUACAUCAUGAAGAGCCGAAUGGAGAAGCGGUAAAGUUCUACGCGCUACUUAAUGAGAUGAACGAAGAACUAUAUGAGGGAUCAAAAUUUUCAAAAAUGUCAUUCUGCAUUCGUCUUUUCCAGUUAAAAUGUUUGGGAGGGUGGACCGGGAACUCAUUGACAAUGCUGUUAGAGUUUUUGAGAGAAAUGUUUCCGUUUGCAAAAAUCUCUCAGUCUUGCAAAGAUAUGAAGAAAAUUAUAAAAGACUUAGGUCUUGGGUACAACAAAAUCCAUAGUUGCCCAAAUGAUUGUAUGUUGUAUUGGGGCGAUCGGAGAAACCAACAGUGUUGUUAUGAAUGCGGUGAAUCCCGUUGGAUAAAUAGAAACACAGAAGAUGGGAACGACGAUAUAGUGCGUCAAUAGGUUUGGAGUGGGAAGAACGUCACUGACGAAGUUAAAUGGCUUUCCUAAGGUCCAAAUCGGGUGGUUAAAAGAUAUAGUGCGUUCCUCAUAAACGGAUUCAGAUUUCAUACAAAAUAUCGCGAGAGAUUGAAGAGAACGCAAAAUUGUGGAAUAGUGGUUAAUUCCUCAAUUACAAGUUAUGCUAGUGCUAGGGACAAUAAUCCUGUGGAGGAAAAUGUGGAAUAUUUUGGACUUCUUACUGACAUAAUUGAGUUGGAUUACUACGGCAAAUGGAAAGUUGUCUUAUUUCGAGGUGAUUGGACCGAUGUUAAUACUGCACGUGGAAUCAAGCAAGAUCAAUUUGGUUUCACAAUGGUAAACUUCGAUCGAUUGAUUCACACAGGACAACAAUUGAUUGAUGAGCCGUAUGUAUUUUCUUCUCAAGUCAAACAAGUUUUUUACUCAAAAGACCCAACUGAUGAGGGUUGGUACGUUGUACUCCGUAACAUCCCUAGAGACUUGUUUGACAUGGGCAGUGGAAGUAGAGAUGACAUUGACGACAGAACACAAACUUUGCCAUUUCCAGAACAGAACUUAAACGAAAACAUCCCUGGUACUAGUACACAAUUUCAAUGGGUCCGCCAGGAUACGGAUGAAGAGACUUACGAAUUAUAAUGUAGUAAGCUUUUACGAUUAUCUAAUUACAUCUACGAAUGAUGAUAUUUCAACUAUUUUAUAUGGGAUAUUAUUGUUGUAAUUGUAUAGUAAGUUUUCAACUAAUUUAUUUGUAUUGCAGAUAAAAUGCCUAGAAGAAAAGUGCGAUCGCACCGCAUUGUUCAAGGUACUCCAAACUCGGCGGAAACAAACAACACUGAACAACAGACUGCUAUUGGAUCUUCGAAUGUUCCGGUUACACCUGAGGAACCUAUAGAAGUUCAAAGUAAUUUAACAUUUAAUUUACAUGUGUGUUGACUUCUUGUUUUUUUUUUUAAAUUUCGUAUAUUACAAUACUUUUAUUUUUCAGAUGAAAUUGGUGGGACGCGAAGAGGUCGCGGACGUACGGUAUUGAGCGAUUUAUACGACCUAGAUCUAGUCGAGCGUGUCCAAGUAUCCAGUAAUAGCUUUGGUCAGCCUGUUGGAUCAGAAGCUCGCCUUUUAGCAGGAUACAUGGGCAUUCUAGCACGGAAUGCAAAUAUGUUGCCAAUUAACUUCGACUCAUGGCAUAAAGUGCCCGAGAGUAACAAGAACCAAGCUCUCGAUAACAUUAAGGUAACAAAACGUGUAUGUCAUUUAUAAUACUUGGGUUUAAGUUUCGUUUACAUUUACUUUCUUAAGUUGUGUUUUUUGUAGGCGAGAUUUGCUCUAGAGGUCUCCGAUGCUUAUGUAAAGAAGGCAUUGGGAAAAAGAUGGAGAGACCAUAAGAGCACUUUAAAGAAAGACUAUUUUAAGACAAAAACAACACUGGACGAGAGAUUACAAAAUGUCCCGCCGGGAAUGCUGAGGUACCAGUGGGAAGAGGUCGUUAGAUUUUGGGCUUCAAAGAAAGGAGAGGUAUGUGUAACGUAUAAAAUUUUGAAAUUAUUUUGGUGUAUAGUAUUUCCUAAUUAAUGUACUAAUAAUUUCAUAAUGUAGGAUCGUGAAGAAGUUGGAAAAAAAAGUAGGCAGCAACAAAAAUUCACUCACACAGCUGGGUCGAAAAGUUUUGCGUGUGUAGCUCAUGCAGAGGUAUUUUCAAUUUUUAUAUAUUGGAGGAUGAUAACUACUUACUUACAUUAAUAUUUUACUAUUGUAUUGUAGGAACUGUCGUCCGGUCAAAAAGUUGGACGCCUUCAACUUUUUGACAUUACACAUAGGAAGAAAGAUGGAAACCAUAUGACUCCUGAAGCUGCAGAAAUUAUGGUACGUUUGCUUAAUUAAUACAAUUUCACUUGUUUUAAUUAUUUAUAGUGUUUAUUUUCUAAUGAUUUAUUUCAUUUUUUGUAAUGCAAAUAUUGUUAAGUUAUGUUGCAUUGGGUUUUUUAAUAUAUAUUGCGUUCCUAACUAUUUGAUUUAUUUUUUAGGAAAAAUUAAGGAUAACAAGGUGGAGUACGAAGCGAUUGCUUCCAGUGAUAGUUCUGUUCAUAUUGACGACAUUGAUAACCGGAUUAUCACUGAAGUUUUGGGUCCUGAAAGGUAUGGUCGGGUUCGAUUUCAAGGAUCUUUUGUUAACCCAUCCCAAUUUUUUGGAUCUAGCUCGCAACAAUAUAUGCCUUCGGGGAGUCGAGCCGAAGCUGAAGUUCAGAGGUUAAGAGACCAGAUGGAUCGUAGCAAGCGACAACAAUUGAGCAAAUUACACAACUUAAAGCGGAGGCAACAUCGAGAGAAGCUGAGGUUCAAAAAAGAUAUGAAGAACUCCAGCUACAACUGAAAGCAGAUGCAGCAGCGAGAGAAGCUGAGGUUCAACGAAAGUAUGAAGAACUCCAGCAGCAGCUUAAAGCAGAUGAGGCAGCAAGAGAAGCAAAGGCCGCAGCGAGAGAAGUACAGGCUGCAGCGAGGGAAGCAGAAGCUAAAGCGAGGGAAGCAGAGGCUGCAGCGAGGGAAGCAGAGCAGCGUCAAAAGUUCGAUGAACUCCAGCAGCAGCUUCAGAGUAUGAUGAAGAUGUUUCAGCAGUCGCAACAGCCGCCGUCUUAGACUAUAGUGUAAAUAUACUUCGAUUUUGACUUUUAAUUAUCAUUUUAACUUUUAACAUUUUUGUAAGAAUAAUACGAUUUUUAUUUUAUUUAUUGAUAUUUAUUAUAUUAUUUGUUUAAUAUAUUGAUUUAUUACUUUUGGCUGCUUUAGAUAUGAUUUCUUUUGAUUUGUUUUUACAGGAGGGCUGAAAAUAUAAAAAAUUUUAUUUUACAAAUCUGCCAAAUUUAGUACCGUUUUUAAAAAAAACGCCACUAAAGGUGUUGGCCUUUAGUGGCGUUUUUGGUCAAAGCGCCGCUAAAGAUAAGGGUCUUUAGCGGCGUUUGUGGAAAAAGCGCCACUAAAGAUCAUAGUCUUUAGUGGCGUUUGUGGUCAAAGCGCCGCUAUAGAUCAGGGUCUAUUACGGCGUUUGAGGGGAAAGCGCCGCUAAAGACCCUGAUCUUUUGUGGCGUUUUUGGGAGAAGCGCCGCUAAAGAUAAGGGUCUUUAGCGUUGCUUCCACUAAAGCGCCGCUAAAGGUCUUAGUCUUCAGCGGCGUUUGUGCAAGAUGCACCGCUAAAGAUCAGGGUCUUUAUCAGGGUCUUUUAUUUUUAAAGAAAAUCUUCAUUUCGAGAAGGUAAUAUGUCAUGCCCAAUACGUUAGGACACCACAAAUUAAGUUCCCGAAAAUGAUUUUUACUUAUACAUUUUGAAUAACGAAUAUUCUCGGUUAUUUGGAAUUAACAAAGAAAAUCGAAACCCAAUACGUUAGGGCUCAAUUUCCUCGAAAGUUCCUAACUUUGAAUAUCGUUUUUAUUUUAAAAACCUUUGACAAAAUCAAAAUAUAUUUUUAAAACAUAUGUUUAAAAAAAAUGAAUGCAAUAUGAAACAAAUAUUUUAAUUUUAAUCAUAUGUAUACAUAAGUAUGACAUAUAAAUAAUUUUUGCAAAUAUGUAUAUGGAUAUGAGAGGAAAAAAUGCAUAAAUUUUAUAAAAUGUCAAUGCAUAUAUCUAUAUGAAUACAUAAGUCAUAAGAAUAAAACCAUAAUAAAAUACACAUAAAAUAUAUUCAUGUAUUUAUAAAAAAAUGUAUAAGCAUAAUAUAUUGGUAAAUAUAAAAAUAUAUAUUUAUAUUUAUAAUAAGUUUUGAAUAGAGUAUAAAUAUAUAUGUACAUAUUAUAAAAAUGUAUAAACAUAUACAAAUUAUAAAACAUGGGAAACGUAUAAAUGUUAUAAAAUAUAAAUGUAUAUACAUAUAUAUAUAAAAACUAUGAAAAUAAAAUAAUAAAUAGAAAAAAAUAUGUAUAGGUAUUUAAAAAAUUUUAAAAAUAUAUAUAUUAUAAAAUACUCAUGCGUGUAUAUGUGUAAGUAUAAUAAUAAUAUAAUAAUGAUAAUAAUAAUAAUUAUUAUAAUUAUAACCACUAUAUUAAUAAAAUAAACUAAAAAAAACUUAAAACGAAAGAUCAUGGAUUAAAUUGAAAAUAACAGAAGUUUCAGGGGCAAAUUUGAAAUAAAUAAAACAUCAAUGGAUCAAAUAGAACAUGCAGUUAACAGUGGAGGACCGAAAGUGAAAUUAAUCCAAACCUCCCAAAACUCCACGCAACAAUGGAUUAAAAUAAAACAAAUUCAGCAUUUCUUGGAAAAAUUUGAAAACAAACAACAAUGAUUUUGAAAUGAUGGGAUAAAAUGGAAGGAUUAAAAACGUAAAUAUCCCAUCAGUGCUUAAAACCCUUUUCAAUCUCAAAUUUAAACGCUAUUCUGCAGCAGCAAUAGCCGCAAAAACUGUUUCAUCUCCUUCCCAACUCUUCACGCCAAAACCUUUAACUUUGAUUUGGACAAAACUAAGCAAACGAUGCCGACGGCGCGCCUCUGCUGGUAAGAAUCUCCUCCCUUUCUUUUACUAUUCAUUUUUUUUCAAAAAAAUGAAGUAAAAUACAAAAGAAAUAUGAGAAAAAAAAUAGAAACAGUAAAAACUUGGAAAGAACAAAUCACCUUCAAAAAUUUGUUUUUUCCGAUUCUUUUCUUUCGUAUUUCAGUAUUUUUCAAUAUAUGUGUGUAACCCUUUUACAGAUUUGAUUUGGCUUUAUAUAGCUGAAACAACGGAGAAAGAAACUAUCGAAAAAACUCUCCUCCUUUUGUCGUAAUUUCUGCUAUUAUUUCUAUUCGUGGUUCAUGGCUUGUUGCAGGUACGGGCAUCGUGCGAAGCUACCAGACGUGGGUGAGACGACGUGGGCAGUUGCUAUGCGUUCGUGCGUGCGUGAAGACGGUUGCUGCAACGUGGGGGCGAGGGUGACGCCGAUCCGCUGCUUAUUGCCAAAGGUUUCUGCUGUUCAUUUUUUUGUGUUUUAGGCUAGUGGGUUAGGUAUUUGGGUUGUUUGGGUAUUGGGCUUGUAAUUUAGUUAUUGGGUCAGGGUGUUAUUGGGUUUAAAACUGGGUUUAGUAAUAGGCUAUUAUAUAUAUAGCCAGGCCAAAAUUGGCCUAUUACAAUAAUUAUUGUAAAUAAAUUAUUCUUUUUGUUUAGUGUGUAAUUGAAUUUUUAAGGAAAGAUUUAGAAAGGAGGGUGGUUUAGUUAAUAUAUAAGAGCGAAGUUGCAACUUGAUAAAUAAGUUUAACUUAAAUCAAGUAUUAUAUUGUAAAUUGAUAGUGAAUUAAUUUCUAGGUAAGACCACACAGGCAUAGGAAGUUUUCUAUCUAUGUAUUUUUACUUUAUUAGUUAGUGAUGCCAGUUACGAGCAUAAAAUGUUUCCACAUAAUCAAUUGUGUUCAUCUCAAACUUUUAAUGUGCUAAUUAAUAAGGCUUAUUGUAAUUGAAUGCGUAGUUGAAAAUCAACCUUUAUGUGAAACACAUUUUUUUGAACCUAAUAUUGGGAUAAAUCUCAAAAUUAUAUAUGAACUUUGAUUUAAUGUGUAAUUGUAUAUAUGAACUUUAAUUUGGUGUAGUUAGACACGUGAAAUUUUGAUUAUGGUUCAAAUGUGUAUUUGAAAUUUUAAUUUUGAUUUAAUCAUAUACACACUUAAAGAAAUAGAUAAAUCAAUCUAUUGUUAUAUUAGAUAAAUAUAAUUAUUUAUAUAUGCAAUAUAUAAACAUAAAAUGAUGUCAUAUCAAUUAUUGUGUUAAUAAUUUACGAGAAUUGGAUCAAAUCAAAAUUUCAUGUAUAAAAUUGCACAAAAUCAAAGUUCAUGUGUUAAACCAUAGUUCAUGUAUAGUUUUGAGAAUUAUUCCUUCAAAUUAGUAUCAUAUUGUUUGAUUAAAUUCCUAUAGAAAAUUAAAAAAAUUAAACUAUUACAAAACAACUAUUUUGAAUUCUUUUUCUUAUUAAUUUAAAAAUAUACAGACCUAAUCUUUGAAUAAAUAAAAUAAUGUAAUGUAAGAUCUUUCAUUAAAUGAAAAUUUUUGCACCUUGUUUUUUCCGGCUUGGACAUGCCAUCAAUAAUUUUCAAACUUGGGUAGUCCAAAUACGUUGGUCACAUGACCAAAGUCCCAGAAAAUCUAGUCCAAGAAUUGGAAAUACGGGCUGAACAAACCAAAAGAGAUAGCUUUGUCAGUUCCAUGUCCCAUGGAGAUGUCCAUUUUGAAUCAUUAGCUUUUUUUUUGUAUUUUUUAUUUUAAUACAUAUGUUUUGACUUUUAAUUUAUAAUUAAUUUAUACUUUUUUUAUAUUUUUAAAUCAUUUUUAUAAUUUUUUAUCCAAAAAUGUUUUUUUUUAAAUAUUUUUCUUUUUUGUUAAAAAAAAACUUUUAGAAUUAGAAUUAAAUUGAAAUUUUUUUUGUAAACAUCGAGGGUUAAAUUUGUUAAAUUUUUUAAAUUUAAGAUCAAAUUGAUAGAAUAUGUAAACAUUAAAGAGUUACAUUUAUUAUUAAACCAAUAAAAAAUACCCAUGCCAACUUUCCUUCACCCAUUUAAUGAUAACUAAUUGGAGAAUAACUAAAAUAUUCGAUUUUGAAAAGUUAAGUAACUAAAAUGAAAAAAAUUAAUAGUUAGGUGACCAAAAUAAAACUAAAUGUAUAAUUGAAUGACUUAUUUUAUAAUUUAUCCUAUUUAUCAUAUAAUAGUCCUAGAAAAGUGAAUUUUAUAUAAUAUUUAAAUGAAUUUUAAACCAUAAAAAAAUUAUUCAUAAACAUAAAUAAAUUCUGACAUUUUAAUAAACAAACAUGAAAAUAUUAUUUAUAUUCAUUUAUAUAACUUAUAAACGAAUAUAAACCCAACAACUCAUUUGACGUGAAUCGUAUAUCCUUCCUCUAAAAUGUCGCUUUAAUUAAAUAUCAUGUCAUCAAGGACAUGCACGUUAAGUGCUUUGAACCAACGAAGUUGUUAAUCACGUGUUGGGACGACUCCAAUCAAUUAAGUACAUACAACUUUAUCAAUUGUGUCAAAAUAUCAUUUGCGGAUAAUUAUAUACAUAAUUAAUAAAUGAAAAAAUUUAUUAUUUUUAUCUAAAACUAUUCAUUACACUAUAAAUUUUUAAAGUUUCACAAAUAAAAUUUAAGAUUUUAAUAAAUAAGACAUGUUGUAAUAUUUGUUGAAUUAAAAUAUUCUACCAUAUCAAGUUCUAAUCCAUUUUUUAUUUCUUAAAUAUAAUAUAAAAAUAGUUUAAUCCAUAAAUUGGUAUCUAAAUUAUAUAUUUUUUUCUCUUUUUGGUAUCUAAACUUUUUCUUUGGUCACAAGUGAUAUCUAAAUUACUUUUUUUUUCUUCAAGUUGGUAUUUUUGUUAGUUCAACCGUUAGGUCUAUUUUAAAAAAAAAAAAGACUUAGCCCACAAGUUAGUAUCUAAAUUAUGUUUUCCAAAAGUUCUUUCAUCGUUCAAAAUCAAUGUUUUCAGAACCGGAUCAACUAGUUGGAUUGAAAUUUGGUUGAGGUACGAUAGAGGUUGAAUAUAAAGACAAAAUAAUAUUUUUUUGGUCUUUAUUCUACAUGACAAUUUUUAAUUGGUUAUCUUUUUAUUUUCUAAAAUGGACUUAACAAUUUAAUUAACGGUUGAACUAAUAAAGGUAUCAACUUGAAAAAAAAAUUAGUUUAGGUAUCACUUGUGAAAAAAAAUGUUUAGAUACCAAAAUAAGAAAAUGACAUAAUUUAAGUACUAAUUUGUGGGUUAAGCCUAUAAAAAAAUUGUGAUUGGCAUCUUACACUCGCUUGUAUUUUUUCAAACGCAAAUAUAUUCAAAGUAAAAUGAUUAAAUUUAAAAUGUAUGAUGACUUAUUUGGCUCUCGAAUUUUACAAAAAAAAAAUCAUUUUAGCUAUUCAUUUAAUUUUUUUUGCCUCUUUUAGUCCUUGAACUUGCAUUGUUUGUCAAACCAUCCAAAAUGGAUGAUCUAUUAACUUUACUAAUGGGGCAUCCAUAUGGCAAUCAUGUAUAUGCCACAUCAGCAAUUAAUUAAUUUUUCAAAAUUUAAAAAAUAUUAUUUUUAUAAUUUUUAUACUUUUGUACUAAUUUUACUUUUUUUAUUUAAAAAAAUUAAUUAAUUGCUAACAUAACAUAUGUGUGACAAUUUACGUGUAUGCCACAUCAACAAAGUUAACAUACAUUAACUUUUUCAUCUAUUUUGAGGUGAUUAGAUAAAUAGCAAAAAUUUAAAGACUUUUAAGAGAAGAAAAACUAAAUACAAGAUUAAAAUAAAUAUUUUUUAUAAAUUAGGCCAAAUAAGUUAUUAUUACUUAAAUUAAACUAAAAUCUUUUGAUAUGCAUCAUUGAAGAACUACCUUAUGGAAAAGGUUUUAAUUAACAACUUAAUCAUUUAAUUUCUCUUAGAUAAAUAAAUUAUAUUUGUCUCACUUCGCUUUUGAUUUUCAAUUAAUAUGGUAAGAAUUAGGUUGGUGGUUAAAUAAUUAAUUUAAGAUUUAAUUAAUUGAAUUAGUUUAAUUAUAAAAAAAAAUUCAAAAAAUUAAAUAUUGAAGUUAACUUCGACGUGAUCCAAAAUGUUUUUAAAUGAUUUUUCGUCACCACUUUAAUCAAUUUUUUGUUGGUUCAUUUUUUUCCAAUCCUAAAUAAAAAGAAUAAAAUGUAAUAUAAUUUUAAUAUAAAAUUUCCAUAAUAUUUUUACUAAAUUUAUGUCAUUUUCGUACAUAAACAUAUCGACAGUGCAUAAGAAGAAUCACGCAUAUCUCGUGACACACGAAUGACCCUACCUUGAAAAUAAAUACCUUUGAAAACAAAAUAAUUUUCCAAUCACACAAAUAAUUCUCGCAUAGACAGCAAUAGAUGACUAAAAGAGCACCACACAAAUAUAUUGAUUGUAAUAACCACCUAAUUUUUUAAAAAAAGUCCACUUGUACACGAGAUUUGGAAUUAAAGAUUUUGGUGGGCUUUGUAUUAUUAUUGUUGUAAUAACAAAAAGAAAUUGAGUUUUUUUUGAAGGUUACAUUAAUAAUAGAAAUUGUAUUAAAAUAUAUUUUUGAUGUGGGUUAAUUAUUUAUAAAUGUAAGUAAAAUUUGUAUUUUUUUUAUAGGGAUGAAUUUGAAUAAUUAUACGUGAGGUUUUUGAGAUGCCAACAAAAGAUUUAAUCAUUGCAAUCUCUCCACCUUAACCACAGAAAAAAAAAAAAGAAGAUCAAAUUCUAUUAACUCUGACUCAUAGUGAUCAUUUAUCAAAGAAUGAUUGAAUAACUGGGACUAAUUUACUUACGAUACUUAAUUGGCAUUCAUAAAAAAGUAUCUAAUGAAUUACGAGUUAAAUACAUCCUGUUUAGCAGAAAGGCGAAUAUUCCUUGCUCAUUAUCAGACAAUCACUUAUUCACAAACUUCGUUUGGGGCUAAUAGUUUUCAUUUCCCACCUCGUGGAAAACCCUUUUCACUCCGUUUAGCCCUAUCUCCCUCUAAGAGUAUUUUAGCGAUAGGUUUUAUAGGAACCGUACGAUCCUAUUUGUUCAAAUACCUAGCGACAAACUCCUAUGUUCCUUUCAUUACAGUAUUUUUGAACAAGUUCCUGGAUAACAAGCUUCUGGAUAAUAAGCUUAAAGGUUUUCUUAUUGAUGAUAUCGAUAUUGAUAAUAGUGACGAUAUUGAUGCUAGUGAUGCUAUUGAUCGUGACCUUGAUACGGAACUGGAGCUUCUAACUAUGGUGAAUGUGUUAACAUGGUUAUGAUGUCGGAAAUAGACCGAUUUUAUCUCACCCUUCAAUUCGAACUAGCAAAAGCAGUGUCUCCUUGCAUAAUAUGGAUUCGUAUUGUUGAUAAUAAUCAUACGUGAUGUUAAUAUUAUACAUAAGUUCGGUUAUAAUUUAAAUUGGUCAUACCACGAAGACCUCUAAAUUGAAAAAAAAAAUUAUAUAUUUCAAGCAAUUAUAGUUAGUUUUUUUAUAUAUUUUCAAGGAGAUUAUAAGUAUAACCACAAGAAUAAAUUAUAAAAUAUACAUUUUCGAUAAAUUAAAACUAGAACAAAUUUAAUGUUAAACACAACAGACUGAAAAUUGAAAUAUAAUUGAGCAAGGGAUGACGUCCCUUCUAACCAAGGGCGGGAUAAUGUGAGUAAGUACAUAUACUGACUUACUUAAAAAUGGUGGAAUUGUGGUUUAGUCUUAUAGAAAUUGUAAAGUUACUAGCAACCCACAUAACUAUAUAUUCAUAUGGUACACGGUAAAAGAAAUAAAAAUUAUUUAAGCAAUGAAAUUUUUUGAAAAAAAUAAUAAUUAUUAAUAAAGUAAAAAAAUGUGAAUACUUUUAUUAAAUAGAUUUUUUUUGGGUAAAAAAAAUUCUACAGUUUCUCCCAUUUUUUUUGAUGAAUUGCAAUAACAAUACAAAUCUCAAACAAUAAACACGAUUAACACGACUCAAAUCCAGGCCGCACCUAGGGCGAUGAACACCCUUGACCAUCAGGCCAUCACAUGAGGUUCACCAAUUUUGAUAUUAAGCAAAAUUUUCCUUUUAAGAAAUCAAAGUAAUUUAACAUCUAUCAAUUUCAAAAAGUGAGUAACUAAAGAUAAUUAAUCAUAAUGUUAAUGUUUUUUUCAUAAAUUGUAUAUACUUUUAUCAAUAUGAUAAAAAAAUAGCCCUCAAAAUUUACACAUUCUGUCAAUUUAGUUUUGAUUUAAUAAAUUUAGUUUACAACAUUUACACAUUCUGUCAACAUUUACACAUAAUAUAUAAACAUCAAUAACUAAAUCUAUUGUUAUAUUAAUCAAAUUUAUGUACAAUUGAUAAAAAAAUUAGAACUAUAAUUAAUUAUCCUAAAAUUAAAUGAUUCCAAUUUAAUAGUAUAGAUAGGUACUUUCCUUUUUAAGAUCACAAACAUUUACUGGGAAUUAGGUAUUAGAAUUGUCGGAGGUUACCAUAUUUUGAUGUGAUGGAACAUUAUUAAAUAAGAGGAAAAUGUUAUCAAUUAAAUGCCACGAAUCAAUUGGACGACUUAAUAGAAAAAAAAACUAAAAAAUUAAUGCUUUCUAUAAAGUAAUAUUUUUAUAUUUUAUAUAAAAUCAAUAAAAGUGAUUUAAAUUUAAUCAUUGUAAUUUUUAAACUGUGAAUUUGACAAUUUCAACUAUAUUAUUAUUUGAUUCAUAUAUGUACAAGCCUAAUUUUUAUGCCCGGGCCCACUACCCAAUAAACCUAACCCAACUACCAUAAACCCAAACCCGGAGCCCAAUAUCAGGCCCAACAGACCCAGAAACCAAAGUCGGCCUAGGGUUUCAGAAACUGAAACUCUAGGCGCCGCACCUUGCUUCAGACUCUUGGUCUCCUAAGCGCCGCCUGGUUCAGACCUUUGGUCUUCUAUUUCCACUCGUUUUGACCCUUGAUCUCCGAGCCGCCGCGCGUCUGCCGCCACCAUCACAUCAACCGUCGCCCAUCAACCUUGCAAAACGGAGAACUCGCAGGCAACAAAAUAAUACAAAAAAUAGCAUGUAAAUAGCAACCAAUCGCCUAUAAAAAGCUGAACACCAUCGUUGUAUUUUUUUUACAACGAUUAGUGAAUGAAAAGCAGAUCAAAAAUUAAAAAAAAGGUUGACUCCAGUUCUCUUUUCAAUUCUUGCACCCUUUAUUUUAUUUUAUUUUAUUUUUGCUUGUUUCACUACUCUUUUAAACAAAAAAAACGAAAUGAAAGAGAGAGACAGAAAGAUGCCUGUCCGCUUCAAAGAUCGGCGUCGUCGCCUAUCUUUGCCGUCGUCUGAGUCGAACGCGGGAAAGGGCCCUUUCUUUCUCUUGAUCCCACGGUUGAGAAGGCCAAGCCUUUGAGGACACCGAAAGGAGGGCUAAAAGGCCCAUUUCGCGCAACUCCGGCCACUGGCCGUGGAGGUAGCGCGGCGGUGGCCAAAAUCCGGGGCCGGAAGUCGUAGGGGGCUUGAGGGGAUUCUCUGUUUCUUUCUUUUAUUUUUGCGGCUGAUUAAUGAAAUUUAUGUUUUUUUUUAGUUUUAUAACAUCUAAAACGACGCUGUUUAAACCCCCAUGAUCUGCGCGCGAUCCGACCCGCUCUAGGGGGGAUCCGCGUGUUUUCAUGAUAUGGGCUAUUUGCGGGCAAGACCCCUCCUAUUUUGAGCUGUAGUGCAAUCGGGUCUUUGUGGUUUUCAUACUUUGGCCGCAUAAUUUUCUGAUUGUUUCUUUUUGGUCCGGAUUGAAACGCUGUGUUUGAGGGCUAGGAAUAUUACCCAGUCGAUCCCUUGUCCUUUAAGAGCAUUUCAUUUUGGUCCCGAGCCACCUUCUUUGUUCAUUUGCGAUUCUGACCCCUAAAUUUCGGUCCGUUUUCAAUUUGGUCCUUAAUCUAUUUAUUCAUUUAUUUUUUAUUUUAUUUUAUUAAAAAAGAAAACAAAAUAAUUUUAUUUAAUACUUCAUUUAAUGUUAUUUACUUACUUUCGUUUUUUUAUUUCCCUUUUUUGGUCAACAUUACAUAGGUUUUAUUUUAUUUAUUUAUUCAUCUUUUUAUUUGAUCCUUUUAUUAAUUUUAACCGAUUAUUAUUGCAAUCUUAUUCUAUUAUUUAUUUUUUAUUUUCACGCAUUUUUAAUAUUUAGUUUUAUUAGUAUUGUUAUUUCGUUAUUGUUAUUGUUACAUUAUUACUUGCAUUAUUAUUAUUCAUAUAUUGGCACUAAUAUUUGUUAGUUUAAAUGUUGUAUGUAUAUGUUGACACCUUUUUUUGGAUGAAAACGGGGUCGACUUGGGUUUUGAAAACGAAAAUGAAAAAAACGGGAGUCGCCACCAAUCAUUUUUUAUAAGGUGUGAUUGGAUCACCUCGAAAAGUGGUUGUUUUUAAUAAAAGAUUUGAUUUUAUUAAAACCACGAGUUUGGUCCACGAAAUUCAAAAAAAUGGGUUCGGGAGUCGGUUACGCACGAGGAAGGAUUAGCACCCUCGAUACGCCCAAAAUUGGUACCUAGUUGAUUACUUAAUGUCUUAGUGUCGAAAAACUGAAAACUUUAAAGAAAUUUAAAAUACGAUCCUUAUUUUGAAAGAAAAUUUAUAAAAAUCGAGCUGCUCGUUAAGACUUUUUAUUUCAGAAAGAGAAAAUGUCACACCCAAUACGUUAGGGUACGAUAUCUUAUCUCUUCAGAAAUGAGCAAGUCUAAACUCACAUAGAAAAGUUUAAAAGAGUGUUUGAUUGUUUAAGUCAUAAAAAAAAUUGUAACCCAAUACGUUAGGGUAUAAUUUCUUCAAAUGUUAAACAUUGAAUAUUUUAUUUAUUUUGAAAAAUUCUCGUCUCGAAGAAUCAACGUAUCAUGUCCAAUGCAUUAGGACACGACGUAUUGAAUUCUCGAUAAUAAGUUUUAUUUAUGUCCUUUUUUAAAAAAGAUUAACCUCGAUUGUUUAGAUUCAACGAAGAAAAUCAAAACCCAAUACGUUAGGGCUCGAUUCUUUCGAGGAUCUCAAAUACCGAUUGUUACUUUUAUUUUGAAAUUUUCCGUUUUUUGAUAAAUCCAAGUAGAAGUAGGUGUAAAAUAACAAUAAUGAUGCAACAUAAAUAAAAUAAUACAAGCAAAAUAAGAAAAGAUAAAUAAAUAAAAUGUCAAACAUAUAAUAAAAGGAAAUCAAUAAUUAAAAGUAAACAAAUAAAAAAAAUUAAAGCACUUAAAUAAAAUAAUAAUGAUAAUAAGCAUGUAAAUUAAAACAUUCGUUCAAAAUAAUAAUGAAAAUGAAAUAAAUAAAUAGUAAAUACAAAAUAAAACAAUAGUAAUGAAUAAAAAUAUAAUAUAUAUGUAUUUAUGUUAGAAUUAUAAAGUAUUAAAAUAUACAUAUGUAUAUAAGAAUAUGUAAGCAUGUAUAUAUACAUAGAUUAUAAAAUAUAGAUAUGCAUAUAAAAAUAAGUAUUUGUAUUAAAUAAGUUGAAAAAAAUAUAUAUACGUAUAUAUAUAAACAAUUAUAUAAUAAUCAUAAUAUAAUAAAACAAAUAUAUCUAAAAUUUACAUAAGUAAAUAUAAAUAAAAACAUGACAAUAAUAACAAUAAUAUUAAUAAAUAUACUAAUAACAAUAGUGAAGAUGAUAAUAAUAAUAAUAAAAUAAUGAAGAAAAUAAAAAAACUAAAAAGGGGACUAAAUCGAAAUAAAAACAAAAAAUAGGCGAAUUUGAAAUAAAAAAAGACGGGAAGAACCAAAUUGCGACGCGCGCUGAAAGAGGGGGGACCAAAAUUGUAAAUAAACCAAAGUCCCAAAACGCUACGCUGCAAUGGACCAAAUUGAGACAAAAAUAAAAAUUAUGGGGCUAAAUUAAAAAUAACAGAAAAUAGCGAAGAGGGCCGAAUUGCAACGCGCUUCAAAGUCGGAGGGACUGCGCGUGCAAAUAUCCCAUUUAAAGAAAACACGCGGAUCCUCCCCCUGGAUCGGGUCACCGCGCGGGUCAGAGAAGCCUAAAACGAUGCCGUUUUGUGGGGGUUAUUUAAACCCAAACUUCUGAAAAAAAACCACUCCAGCCACCAAAGAAAGAAAGAAAAAAUUUAAAAUAAAAAAACUCCCUAUUCCUCUCAAAAGUCCGGCCUUUCGGUCAUAUCAGCGCCGCCAUUGCGCCACCACGGGCGGUGGCCGACCUCGCGCAAAGGCGGUGUUCUAGACCCCGUUUUUGGACCCAAUCAAAGGCUAUACUCACUUAGCCCGAAGGCCAAGUGGAAGGGCCCCUCAACUCGACCUUUCGGGGCCAAUUUCCUCGACGGACAGACUCCGACGGCGGCGCAACCGAAAGGAGAAACGGUAAGUUUUCUUCCCUUUCCUUUUAAAUCGUUUUUAUAGAUAUAUAGAAAGAAAAUAAAAAAAGUAAAUAAAAUAUAAAAAAACGAACAGAUCUAUAAGACAAAAAAUAUCACCUUAAAUUUUUUCUAUUCUCUGUUUUUUUUGUUACAGAAAUUGCUAGAAAAAGAAAAGGGUUACAUUUUGUUGGCUUUUAUAGCCGAUUUUUGUUACUGUUUUGGUCGCUUCUAUUGUUUUCUUUGUUUUUGUUUCUUCUUUGCAGGUGACGGCGCAAGUGGAGGGUUGACGUGACUGCGGGCGGCGCCGAUGGGACGGUGGCGGCGUCAGAAGGCCAAGGGUCAAAGGCUAAGGAGGAGGGCGGCGCCUAGGGUUUCAGAAACUGAAACCCUAGACAGAUAUUUUUUUAGGAGAUUGGGCCUUAAACAUUGGGCCUCGGGUUUGGGUUGCAUUGGGCUCCGGGGUUGGGUUCAAAUGUAAAUGGGUUUUUGGUUUAAUUGCUUUGGGCUGAGGGUUAAUGGGUUAAUUUAAUUGGUUUGGUGUAUUGGUAAGGUUAAUUGGGUUGUAUUGGGUUUUGGGCUAAAAUUGGGCUUGUACAUCUGUCCCUCUUUGCUCGUUGUCGUGUAACGAUAACAGAGCAAAGACUAAGAAAGACCAAUUUUUGCCCGGUCUUGCCGAGGAAAUAAGAUUCGCCGUUGCGGUUUCAAUAUUUUGAAUUGCAAUGUCGGGGAAGUGAGAUUCGCUGUUGUAGCUUCAAUCUGCUCCGCUGCAUCACCUGGGAAGUAAGAUUCACCGUUGUGGCUUCAAUCUUUUGAAUUGCAAUGUCGGGGAAGUGAGAUUCGCCGUUGUAGCUUCAAUCUGCUCCGCUGCAUCGCCUGGGAGUAAGAUUCACCGUUGUGGCUUCAAUCUUUGAAUUGCAAUGUCAGGGAAGUGAGAUUCGCCGUUGUAGCUUCAAUCUGCUCCGCUGCAUCGCCUGGGAAGUAAGAUUCAUCGUUGUGGCUUCAAUCUUUUGAAUUGCAAUGUCGGGGAAGUGAGAUUCGCCGUUGUAGCUUCAAUCUGCUCCGCUGCAUCACCUGGGAGUAAGAUUCACCAUUGUGGCUUCAAUCUUUGAAUUGCAAUGUCAGGGAAGUGAGAUUCGCUGUUGUAGCUUCAAUCUGCUCUGCUGCAUCGCCUGGGAAGUAAGAUUUACCAUUGUGGCUUCAAUCUUUGAAUUGCAAACUAUGGUUUCUUCGAUCUGCUUCACUGUCAGUACAGGAAAGCAAGAUCUGCAACUUCAUUGGUCUGUUCUCUAGGGAACAUGACUUGUAUGUUCUAUUUUAUGAACCUAAUUAUGCCUAGUGUUUAGGAUGACAUGAUCAGAAUGAAUCAAAUGCUCCUAACUAGAUGCGCAUGAAUGACAUUUUAAUGAAUGCUGAAUGUCAUGAAGAUGAUUCCUUAAUGUUUGAGUUGUUAUUGCUCAUUGCUCAAUCAGGCUUUACAGCCAACACGUACAAAUGCUAUCUUGUCCGGUUGGUAAUGCUCAUCCCUUACUUGGUCGAAUUUCCCCCAUUAUAAUCUUCAAGGUUCAAUCCACUGGAUACAAAAAUUGGAAUCAUCUUUCUCCCUCUGUAACCCAAGGAUAGAAAGACCUAGCCCUUUUCUCGAUCCUCUGUUAUCAUAAUUCAAUGAUACAGAAUGUGAAACUCUUCGGUCUCCUACACCAUUCCCAAGGUGUUAUUACAAAUGUUUAUGCACAAUGAAGAAUUUUCCUCUCCCAGAAGACCUUUUCUUAUUGCUUGGUGAACAUCGCUUGUUUAUUCUUUGAAGUCUUGUCACCAACACGACAUCUUGUCAUUUUGUUUUAUCCAUGUUUGGACAACAAAUUUUGAAAGGAUAGUCUUGACUUAAACCUUUUCCUUUUAGACGCUUUAAAUUUGGUGUGUUCUAUGCAACAGUCCUGUUUCAGGUUCCUUCAUUAUUUAGAAAUUUCUAGAGUAAUAUGCAAAACUCUAUUUGCUUGAACAUUCAGUCCAUUGAAAGAUUAUCGCAACAAACAAACAAAAUGUUAUUGAGAACAAAUCUUGAAAUGAAUGAGUUAAUCAAGAUAACAAAUUUUGUUAAGAUAAGAUGAAAAAAAAGACAAUAAACAAAAUGUAAUUUUAUUGGGGAACAAAGCUUGAAAUGAAUACAUUAAUCAAGACAACAAAUUUUGCCAAGAUUCAAAAUAUAAAAUGACAACAGGUGCCCCAGAUAUCGCAGCACGAGCUUCCCUGCAUAAGUUUUUCUAGAGACCAUUUAAUAUGUGUUUAGGGAAUCUACAGUAUUUUGUCAAUACCCCAAGAUAUCGCCUACCCUUUCUUGUGAUUCAGGUAUAGUAAGACCACCACAUGCCCCAGGUUUUGAUCAAAAUUUGAGCUGUUCCUUUCACCUCACAUUUCUUUAAAAUUUGAGCCGCCUUUUUCAGGUUUUCAACUCAAAUCCCCUUUGGUCUCAAGGCGCCCUUUAUGGGUUUUCACAUUGGCCUCUCCCUUUUUUUUGGAGUGCCCUUCAUAGGUUUUCACUUUGGUCCUUCCCUCUUCAAGUGAAAUAUUUCUUGACUGAAUCUGAGUUUACAGGAUUUGGCAGGCUUUUACCAUCCAUCUCGCUCAAGAUUAAAACUCCACCAGAAAAGGCCAUUUUUACCACAUAAGGACCUUUCCAAUUUGGCAUACAUUUUCCUCUAACAUCUUUUUGUAGAGGAAGAAUUUUUUUCAACACCAAGUCCCCCUCGUAAAAUUUUCUAGGACGAACUUUUUUGUUAUAGGCUCGCAUCAUUCGUUUCUGAUACAUCUGACCGUGACGAAUAGCUUUUAACCUCUUUUCUUCUACCAAGUUUAGCUGGUCAUAUCGAGAUUGAAUCCAUUCAGCCUCAUCUAACUUUAGUUCGGCUAAUACUCAGAGAAAAGAGAUUUCAACUUCUAUGGGUAAAACUGCCUCCAUCCCAUAGACUAAAGAAAAAGGAGUUGCCCCCGUAGAGGUCCUAACAGAGGUACGAUAUGCCAGAAGAGCGAAAGGUAAUUUCUCGUGCCAGUCUUUGUAGGUUUCAGUCAUUUUCCCUGCAAUUUUCUUGAUGUUUUUGUUAGCUGCUUCCACGGCACCAUUUAUUUUUCGGCGGUACGGUGAUGAAUUGUGGUGUCUAAUCUUGAACUGACUACAAAUUUCUGCUAUUAAGUUGUUAUUCAAGUUCAGCGCAUUGUCAGAUAUGAUCCUUUCGGGCAUCCCGUAUCGGCAUAUGAUCUCUUUUUUCAGAAACUCUCUAACUGCGGACUUCGUGACAUUUGCAUACGAAGCAUCCUCUACUCAUUUAGUGAAGUAAUCAAUAACCACAAAGAUAAAACGAUGUCCAUUAGAAGCCUUUAGGGAUAUUGGCCCAAUAACAUCCAUUCCCCACAUGGAGAAAGGCCAUGGAGAAACCAUAACGUGAAGGGGUGAAGGUGGUGCGUGCAUUUUGUCACCAUAAAUUUGACAUUUAUGGCACUUUUUGGCAUAAUUAAUGCAAUCCCCUUCCAUGGUGGACCAAUAAUACCCAAAUCUCAUAAUUUGUCUGGCCAUCGUGAAGCCAUUGGCAUGCAUUCUAUAGAUACCUUUCAUGCACUUCUUCCAAAAUUUUCUUAGCUUCGACAGCAUCCAUACAUCUCAACAAUACUUGAUCUUUUCCCCUUUUAUACUAGAUAUCCCCAUCUAGGACAUAAUCAAUGGCUAAUCUCCUUAAUGUCUUCUUAUCAUUUCCCGUCGCAUGGUCAGGGUACUUACGACUCUUCACAUAUCGCAAUAUGUCAUGAUACUAGGCGUGAUCAUCCUUUUCCCCUUCAUUGUCAAUGUUGUAACAAUGGGCUGGAGCCUCAUAAAUGCUGAUCUGGAUAGGCUUCAUAUCCUCUAGUUUGUUCACUUUGAACAUAGAAGCUAGGGUGGCCAAAGCAUCUACCUUCUGGUUCUCAUCUCGUGGAAGAUAGCUAAAGGUGACACUAUCAAAUUCUUCAAUCAAUUCCAUAACCAAUUUUCGAUAGCGGACUAACUUCAGGUCUCUUGUUUCCCAUUUCCCUUUGAGCUGGUAAAUUACUAAUGUAGAGUCCCCGUAUACCUCUAACACCUUAAUUUUCCGCUUUAUGGCUGCUCGGAUGCCCAUAAUGCAAGCUUCAUACUCAGCCAUGUUAUUUGUGCAAUCAAAGUCCAAUUUGCUAGUGAAAGGGUAAUGAUCUCCACUAGGGGACACGAGUACUGCCCCGAUUCCGUUGCCUAUAGCAUUUGAAGCUCCAUCAAAAUUUAGCUUCCAAAGACCACCUUCUUGGAAAUCUUUUUCUGCAGUUGGAACAUACAUCAAAUCCUCAUUUGGGAAAUCGAAGUUCAAUGGCUCAUAAUCUUCCAGUGCUCUACUUGUCAGGAAGUCCGCUAUUGCACUCUCUUUGACCGCCUUCUGGUUCACAUAGACUAUGUCAAAUUCAGAUAGAAGAAUUUGCCAUCGGGCCAUUCUUCCAUUCAGAGCGGUUGACUCCAUCAAGUAUUUUAAAGGGUCCAAUUUAGAGAUUAACCAGGUUGUAUGGUACAACAUGUACUGUCUCAGUCUCCGAGUUGUCCAGAUUAGGGCACAACAUAACCUCUUGAUUGGCGAAUAUCUUGUUUCGCAUUCGGUGAACUUCUUACUGAGAUAGUAGAUUGCUCUUUCUUUUCGUCCUGACUCAUCAUGUUGACCAAGCACGAAUCCCAUAGAAUUUUCAAAUACUGCCAAAUACAGUAUGAGCGGUUUGUCUAGGCAAUGUGGCAUCAGGACUGGGGCGUUGGACAAGUGAUGUUUGACUUUUUCAAAAGUUUUUUGACAUUCCUCAUCCCAUACACCUGGAUUGUGUUUCUUAAGGAGACAGAAUAUGAGAUCACAUUUCUCGGUUAAUUGUGAAAUAAACCGAGCGAUGUAGUUCAGUCUUCCUAGAAAACCUCGAACCUCUUUUUGAGUACGCGGCGGAGGUAAUUCUUGUAUUGCUCUUACUUUGUCAGGAUCAAUCUCAAUUCCUCUCUCACUGACCACGAACCCAAGCAAUUUUCCUGAUCUGACUCCAAAUGUGCAUUUCGCUGGAUUUAGCUUUAGCUGAAAUUUUCUCAACCUCAUAAAUAAUUUCUUAAGGACCUGCACAUGUUCCUCUUCUGUUUUAGAUUUUGCAAUCAUGUCAUCAACAUAGACUUCUAACUCCUUAUGCAUCAUAUCAUGGAACAGUGUUACCAUGACCCUCUGAUACGUUGCCCCUGCAUUUUUUAACCCAAAUGGCAUCACUUUAUAACAAAAGGUCCCCCAUAGGGUUAUGAAUGUAGUUUUCUUCAUAUCCUCAGGAUGCAUAUUAAUUUGGUUAUAUCCAAAGAAACCAUCCAUGAAAGAAAAUAACGAAUACCCUGCUGUGUUGUCUACCAGGGCGUCGAUGUACGGCAAUGGAAAGUUAUCUUUUGGGCUAGCCUUAUUUAAAUCUCUAUAAUCUACACACAUUCGUACCUUCCCAUAUUUCUUAGGGACAGGUACGAUAUUGGCUACCCACUUAGAAUAUUUGACCACUUGCAGGAAUCCAGCAUCGAAUUGCUUUUGCACCUCCUCUUUUAUUUUUAAUACAACAUCAGGCCUCAUUCUUCGGAGUUUUUGUUGAACGGGUUUGCAAUCUUCCUUUAUAGGAAGACGGUGAACUACGAUAUCAGUGCUUAACCCGGGCAUAUCUUGGUAUGACCAUGCGAAGACAUCUUUGAACUCUCGAAGCAACUCAAUGAGGUCUUGUUUUACUUCUUUAGCUAUGCAUGUACCAAUCUUCACCACUUUCCCUUCUUCCAGGAUCACCGUCUCUACCGUAUCCUCAUGAGGUAAGAUUUGUUUCUCUUCCUGCUCUACCAUCCUCAACAAGUCCGGAGAUAGGUUGCAAUCUAUGUUAUCUUCAAAAUCUCGAGAUUCCUCUAAACACAUAUCUCGUUCAAAAGGAUUUUCUAGGUCCGUAGUAGGGUCACUCAUGUCAUUGAUAUCUUGGGACCUAUUAUGAAUAUCAAAGAAUGUACAAGGAAUGUAUGAAUUCAAGGAUUCUUAUUUAGUAUGGUCAUGAAUGAAAGAAUGAUUUGGAAUAAAAACAUCCAAAAUAAUUAUUCAUACGAAAGAAUGAAAAGAAUCUUAAAAGAAUAUAUACUCAAAAAGAAAAUGCGAAGAUAUAUUUCAUUAAAGUCAAAAUGUUCCAAUAUAAGCCCAUUUCAUUUCACAAAAAGUUUUCAUUUUCUCUAGGCUUAAAACAAUUAGUUUGUUUUGAAUAUUACUCUGGAAAAGCUCCAAAAACUUCAAGCAUUUCUUCUGCAGUCCAAUUGCUUAAAACGCUCCCAGGUUCAAAGGGACAGAUGUUAGAGUAUGCCCAAAGAUCAAUCAUGAGAUGGUUGUAAUAACAUACUUGAUUUAUCAUGUUUAUUAAUAUAAGACGUUACCAUUAUUAUUUCAGUUUCUUUUCUAUGUGUAUAAAUAAAUUGUUUUCUAAUAAUGUCCUAAGAAUAAUAUGAUUAUUCUUAAAAUAUCCUUAGUCAAGUAUUAUUGUUGGAUAGGACAACAAUAAUGCAUAACAUGUAGUUGAUUGAUGAUAAAGAGUUAUCAUUGAUAUGGAAUAUCAGAAUCGAUGCAUGAAUAUGUGUGUUAGAGAACAACAUAUUGGACUAACCCAUUAUGAGUAUGUUUCUUGGAUUAUUAUGUAAUUGUCACGACAUUACUCAUAGUGAUUAAUAUGUAUAUGAUCCUCAGACUUGAGAUCAUCAUAAUCCCAACAUCGUGAGUAGUAUAUUUUGAUACAGUCAAACGUACACAGUAACUGGUUGUUCUAUAAAGGCUGGUGUUGGAUAUACCACAAUCGAUGUAGAGGGAUAUGGUUGGUCGAUAUAGAAUAAGUCCCUCCUACAUAAUGGGAGUAAUAUCUUAGGCCACUUGAUUAAGUGAGACUAGAAAUGCAUGGCCAUGCUCAAAUAAGUUGAUAUGAGAUGCCAUACUUAUUUGUAUAUCGUAGUCUGCUUAAAAUAUCAAGGAACAUGGAAUGGACUAUACAAGUGUGACUAUUCCAUGACUUGUGUCCAAUCCAGAGAUAAAGGACUUAAGGAUUAUUGCAUAAAAGGUUAAUCAUAAAAGGUUAUGUCGAAUCAUGAUCUCUUGUGACUUAGGUAGCAAUGAUGCAUUGCUAGAUGCCACUCAUUGUUUGUAACAUUGGAAUCGUUCUAGUAUUACUGCUAACGUUACAAGAACCUACAGGGUCACACCCUAUAGUUAAAAUGAACGAAAUAAACCAUAGUUGGUAUUGUUUUUAGGUGUCACUUGAAUUAAAUUAAUUAUAGAAUUAAUUUAAUUCGAUUUCCAACACAUUAUGUACAAGGUUGUUGUACACAUAAUGAGGUUAGCAUAUGAAUUCAAAUAAAUAUAUGGUUUACCGAAAUUAUAUUAUAAUUAAUGUAAUUAUAAUUUUCGGUUUAAAAUAUUAUUAUAUUUAUUUUAAUUCAUAAAUAAAAACCCUAAAAAAUAAAUAAUAAGGAUAUAAGUAUCCCGUUUUUCUUUGUUUUUGGUCUAGCAGCCGUCAAAGAAAAUUCUCUCUCAAAACUAUUUUGGGGAUUUCUUCCGUUCGUAGCCAACUGGGUGGAUCACGUAGAGGUCGGAGUCUCGAUAGAUUGCGACUUAGUUCGAUUGUAGAUCAGACUACACGUUGUUGAUAAGUUGCUGUCUACUAAGAACAGCAUUAAGUAAUUUCAUAACCCUUUUCACCCUGAUUCGUUCCUCACACAUGGAUUCGUGGUUAGGGUCGCCGAUUAUUAAAUUUUUCCACUGCACCGUAGGGGUGCCGGCGAUCCAACAACAGAUACCUGAUAUACUAUUUUCUUCAGAUUCUUCUUCAGAUAUGGCAUUGAUGUUCAGACUUCCUAACAUUUCCUCCGCGGUCUUCUUUCUUGGAAUCCUCAGUCCAGAAUACAUGGUUCCCCCUGACACGAAGGUCCUGGAUAUGUGGGGGAAAGUUAUGGGUUCCCAAUCAACUUUUUCUCCGUUUAAACAUGCCUUCCUCCUCUCUUAUCUUUUCUCCAACUCUUUCCUUCUUUGCUUAGCAUUUGGUUUAAAUCCUAAAGCAAAGCGGUCUUGUUUGUCCUUCAGUACUGGUGGCUCUAUCCUUCCUUGAAGGCAUCUUCCUAGUCCUCUUUCGGGCAUAGCUCCUUUCCCAACUGCCAUUUGUAGUCCCAUCCUCGUGGCUCUAGAUAUGCUGGGCAUCGGGAUCUUCUUCCCCUCAAUGACAGAGGUUGCAUUUACAAACUCUAAGGAUCGAAAAGAACAUUCGACCGCCUCAUCAUCUGUUCCCAAAUAUGGUGCGUCACUGGUUACCAAUGCAAUGAUGUCUUCCUCAGCUUCAAUAGUAACUAACCGGCCUUCUGUCACUAAUUUCAACUUCUGGUGCAACGAUGAAGGCACCGCCCCUGCUGAAUGAAUCCAUGGUCUCCCCAGCAAGCAAUUAUAUGAAGGCUUGAUAUCCAUCACUAAAAAAUCCACUUCGUAUGUAUUCGGGCCAAUCAAGAGGGGUAUUUCUAUUCUUCCCAUCACAUUUCUUUCAGUACCAUCAAAUGCUCUCACUAUGUUCUGACAUGAUUUCAUGUGAGAGCUAUCCACCGGUAACCUAUUGAAGGUGGACAGGGGUAAAACAUUUAGGGCUGAUCCAUUAUCAAUUAGCAUACCCAAUAACAUAUACUCCCCACAACGAGUAGUGAUAUGUAAGGCUUUGGUGGCUCCUCUUCCCCCCGAAGGUAUUUCAUCAUCAUUAAAGAAAACGAAAUUGUUGGCACCGAUAUUGUUAACCAAACGGUCCAACUUAUUCACUGAGAUAUCGUUAGCGACAUAAGUUUCAUUUAGCACCUUAAUCAACGCAUUACGAUGUAUCUCUGAAUUUAGAAGCUACCCAAUUUUUUAAAACCUUAAACGGCCCAAUUGGGCCCAAAAAUUAAACAACAUCAGGGAUCCCUAGGGUUCCUUGCCUUUCCUUGCGCCGCUACUGCCCAUGUUCACUUUCAGCAUGCACAACGCCCGAGGUCUGCCAUCGCCAGCCAAGCCUGCACCAAAAUGGCAAGCCAAUCCGAUGCCCGCAAAAGAAAACCUACAAACAAGCAUGAAAGAAGGACGAGCAGAACAAAAAGCAGAAACAGUAAAAAUUAUAAAAAAAAGUAUUCUCUUUCAGCUUUAUAAGCCCAGAAACAAAACGAUGUAAAGGGGGGAAUUUUUUAUGAAAAGAGAUUGAAAAAAUAGAAUACAAAAAGAGGUGAUUUUUCGUUUCUUAUUAUUUUGUUCUUAUUAUUUUUAUUUAACUUUCAGUCAUAUAUAUUAUAUAUUAGAAAUAGAAAGAAAACUUUCUAAUAGAGGGACGGAUUCAAACAUGAAACGAAAGAAAAAGAUAGAUAAAGGAAGAGGAUAAACGAAAGCAAAGCUUUUGCACGGAUUCAAAGCCGUUUUAUUCCUCCUUUCUUUUUUUGUUUUGUUUCUUUUUUAGAAAAAAAAUACAUACAUACGAGUUUUAUAUAUGUCUAUAAAAAAACCGAGACAACUUAUCUGGGGUUUGACUGCCGAACGCUGCGGUGGCGUGGUGACGAUCGACAAACUAGCGGCGCUGAGGCAGGAGCUUGAAACCCUAACAGAAAAGAGCAUUUGAUUUAUUUUUUUCGUUCACAGCAGGCUGAUUUUUUUUUAAAAAAGGUGUUGCUUUUAUAAAGUGAAAGAAAUAGUGCCGUAUCAGCAAAUGGCCCAACCCGAUGAUCUGACCCGAGCGGGAUCAGAUCCGCGUAUUCUGGGUCUGUGAGGGAUAUUUUCCCUAUUGAUCCCUCGUUCUUUUCCCUUUUCUUAAUUUCAUUCGUUUAUUUUUUUAUUUACCCUAUCUAUUUUGAGCCUAUUCAUUUGGGUCCACGCCGCAGCACAGCGUUUUGGGGCUGGGGAUAUUUUCCUCUUUAAUCCCCAUGUAAUCCGCAUAUUGCACUUUAACCCCUCGUCUUGGUUAUAACUCUAUUCUUUUCUUGUUAAUUUAGAUUUGAUGGCACGGGCCAUUUUGGUAUGUGGCAAAGUGAGGUUCUAGAUGCCCUUUUUCAGCAGGGUCUAGACAUUGCCAUUGAUGAAGAGAAACCAGAUGAUGUACAGGAGAAAGAUUGGAAGGCGAUCAAUUGGUUGGCAUGUGGCACAAUUUGAUCAUGCCUUUCUCGAGAGCAGAGGUAUGCUUUUUCAAAGGAGACUUCUGCAAAUAAGUUGUGGGUGGCACUUGAAGAAAAUUUUUUGAAGAAAAACAGUCAAAAUAAGCUCCACUUGAAGAAAAGACUGUUUCGCUUCACAUACGUCCCAAGUACCACAAUGAAUGAUCACAUCACCAAAUUUAAUCAGUUAGUCACUGAUUUGCUGAAUAUGGAUGAGACAUUCAAAGAUGAAGAUUUGGCUUUGAUGCUGUUGGGGUCACUUCCUGAGGAGUUUGAGUUCCUAGAAACUACUCUACUUCAUGGCAGGAGUGAUAUAUCUCUGAGCGAAGUCUGUGCGGCCUUAUACAGUUAUGAACAGAGAAAGAAGGACAAACAGAAAAACUCAAUCAGAGAUACAGAAGCUUUAGUAGUCCGAGGUCGUUCAUACACUCGGAAGAAAACUCAAAAGGGGAGAUCAAAGUCAAAGUCCAGACUCGGGAAAGAUGAAUGUGCUUUUUGUCAUAAGAAAGGCCACUGGAAGAAAAAUUGUCCAAAGCUGAAGAAUAAGGGAAAAGCUGCUGUAGAUGCUUGUGUUGCUAAGCAUGAUACUAGUGACUCUGAACUAUCACUGGUUGCAUCAUCAUCGUCGUUCCAUUCAGAUGAGUGGAUAUUGGAUUCGGGUUGUACCUAUCAUAUUCCCUUAAUCGGGAGUGGUUCUCUGAUUUAGUAGAACUAAAUGGAUGAGUUGUUUAUAUGGGCAAUGACAAUGCCUGUAAAACUGUUGGGAUAGGUUCAAUCCAAUUAAAGAAUAAAGAUGGAUCAACCAGAGUUCUGACUGAUGUUCGGUACGUGCCCAGUUUGAAGAAAAAUCUCAUCUCAUUGAGAGCCUUGGAAUCCAAUGGUUCAGUUGUUACUAUGAGAGAUAGGAUUUUGAAAGUGACAUCUGGCGCACUUGUGAUAUUGAAGGGCAUCAGGAAAAAUAACUUGUAUUACUACCAAGGUAGUACAGUUAUUGGAGCAGUCGCUGCAGCUUCCGGCAACAAAGAAUUGGACUCAAUACAGUUGUGGCAUAUGAAGUUGGGACAUGCCAGCGAAAAAUCCUUACAAAUUCUGGCAAAGCAAGGAUUGUUGAAAGGUGCAAAGGCUUGCAAAUUAAAAUUUUGCGAGCAUUGUGUUCUGGGAAAGCAAAAGAGAGUGAAAUUCGAUACUGCUAUCCAUAAUACAAAAGGUAUUUUGGAAUAUGUUCACUCAGAUGUGUGGGGGCCUUCUAAGACACCUUCAUUGGGAGGAAAACACUACUUUGUUACUUUUGUUGAUGACUUUUCCAGAAGAGUUUGGGUGUAUACCAUGAGAACUAAGGAUGAAGUGCUUAGAGUUUUUUCUUAAAUGGAAAACUAUGAUCGAAAACCAGACUGGCAAGAAAAUCAAGCGGCUUAGGACGGACAAUGGAGGGGAAUAUAAAAGUGAUCCGUUCUUCGAUGUGUGCCAAGAGUAUGGUAUUGUUCGACACUUCACAAUUAGGGAUACACCACAACAGAAUGGAUUGGCAGAGCGUAUGAAUCGAACAUUGUUGGAGAAACUUCGAUGUAUGUUGUCCAAUACUGGGUUGGGCAAGCAAUUUUGGGCUGAGGCUGUGACAUACGCUGGCCAUCUUGUUAAUCGUUUGCCAUCAUCUGCAUUAGAAAGAAAAACUCCUAUGGAGGUAUGGUCUGGAAAACCGGCUACAGAUUAUGAUUCCUUACAUGUGUUUGGAACCACUGCAUAUUACCAUGUGAAGGAGUCAAAGUUAGAUCCGAGGGCAAAGAAAGCUCUCUUUAUGGGAAUCACUUCUGGAGUGAAGGGAUUUCGUCUUUGGUGCUUAAGCACAAAGAAAAUGAUCUGUAGCAGAGAUGUUACCUUUGAUGAAUCUGCCACAUUGAAAAAGGUAGCAGAUAAAGAUAUUCAGACGAGCAAUACUCCACAGCAGGUGGAGUGUACUCCAAAACAGGUGGAGUUUGAGCAGAUGGGGAUUUGCCCAGUUAAUAAGUCUAAUUCUCCAGCCACAAUGGAGGAAUUAGAGGUUGAAGAGGUUCUGACCCAAGAACCACUAAGUACACCAGAACCAGUUGCAGUUGCAAGGCCACGGAGAGAAAUUCGUAAACCUGCUCGAUUUACUGAUAUGGUGGCCUACGCCCUUCCCGUUGUUGAUGAUAUUCCUAUCACUUAUCAAGAAGCAAUGCAAAGCUUAGAAAGUGAUAAAUGGAAAAGCGCCAUGGAUGAAGAAAUGCAGUCUCUCCGGAAGAACAAUACUUGGGAGUUGGCGCAAUUACCGAAAGGUAAAAGGGCAAUCGGAUGCAAGUGAGUAUUCGCAAAGAAAGAUGGAUCUCCUAGCAAGAAGGAUAUUCGCUACAAGGCAAUAUUGGUAGCUAAAGGCUACGCUCAGAAGGAGGGAAUUGACUACAAUUAUGUAUUUUCCCCUGUUGUGAAGCAUUCCUCCAUUAGAAUUUUGUUGGCCUUGGUAGCACAGUUGAAUUUGGAGCUAGCUCAACUUGAUGUUAAGACGACUUUCUUGCAUGGUAAGUUAGAAGAGGAGAUCUAUAUGACUCAGCCCGAAGGAUACACAGAUGCUGGUGGUAGAAAUUGGGUUUGUAAGCUUAACAAAUCGCUAUAUGGAUUGAAGCAAUCCCCGAGGCAGUGGUACAAGCGAUUUGAUAGCUUUAUGAGAAGGCAGAAGUACACAAGAAGCAAAUAUGACAAUUGUGUAUAUUUGCAGAAGCUGCAUGACGGAUCUUUCAUUUAUCUACUCUUGUAUGUUGAUGAUAUGUUAAUCGCUUCAAAGAGCCAAAAUGAGAUAGAUAAGUUGAAGGCUCAGUUGAAUCAAGAGUUCGAGAUGAAAGAUCUAGGUGAGGCCAAGAAGAUUCUCGGCAUGGAGAUAAGUAGAGAUAGACCAAGAGGCAAGCUCUGUUUAAAUCAGAAGCAAUAUCUGAAAAAGGUAUUACAAUAUUUUGGUGUAAAUGAAAACACAAAACAUGUAAGUACCCCACUUUCUUCUCAUUUGAAACUUAGUGCUCAAUUAUCUCCGAAGACUGAAGAUGAAAGAGAAUAUAUGGCGAAAGUCCCAUAUGCUAAUGCAGUUGGGAGUUUGAUGUAUGCGAUGGUGUGUACGAGGCCUGACAUUUCACAAGCUGUUGGAGUUGUGAGCAGGUAUAUGCAUGAUCCUGGAAAAGGACAUUGGCAAGCUGUGAAAUGGAUUCUACGGUAUCUUCGAAAAACCGUAGAUGUUGGUUUAAUUUUUGAACAGGAUGAAGCACUUGGUCAGUUUGUAGUUGGAUAUGUUGAUUCCGACUUUGCUGGUGAUUUAGAUAAACGUCGUUCAACUAUGGGGUAUCUGUUUACUCUUGCGAAAGCCCCAGUGAGUUGGAAGUCUACCUUACAGUCUAUAGUAGCUGUGUCUACUACAGAGGCAGAAUAUAUGGCAGUUACAGAAGCUGUUAAGGAGGCUAUUUGGCUUAAUGGAUUGUUGAAAGACUUAGGAGUUGUUCAAAGUCACAUAAGUUUAUAUUGUGACAGUCAGAGCACUAUUCAUUUAGCGAAAAAUCAAGUCUAUCAUUCAAGAACCAAGCAUAUCGACGUAAGAUAUCACUUUGUGCGGGAAGUCUUUGAAAAAGGAAAAAUUCUACUUCAGAAGAUUCCGACAGCAGAUAAUCCCGCAGAUAUGAUGACCAAGGUGGUAACAACAAUCAAGUUUAAUCAUUGUUUGAACUUGAUUAACAUCCUGAGAAUUUGAGCACCUACAGGUGUAUGGCGCUCGAGAGCGCAUUUAGAGGCACUACAAAAGAUAACUUUAUCGAAUUUGGGGAGUUGAAGGAAGUGUGUGAAGAUGUGAUUAUCCUAAUCAAAUCUUCAAGGUGGAGAUUGUUGAAAGGUCAACAAAGGUAGGAAGCAACUUGUUAAAAAGGUUGAGCAAGUUGCACCGAAUGUUGAAAAGUUGAAUGGGAUAAUUGCAAUUUUGGUCCUUAAUUUUUUAGGCCAUUUGCAAGUUAGUCCCUGAAGUUCAACUAUAAAUAGGCCUUUUCAUUUUUCAUUUCAACCAUCCCAACCAAUCUUUCUCUCUUAGUUUUCUCUCUUCUCCCAUUUGAGAAUUCUUAAGGAAUUCUAUUUGUUUGUAAUACUUUGGAGAUAGUAAAGUUAUCAUCUGGUGUUAGUGCCCGAGGACGUAGGUAUAAUUUACCGAACCUCGUUAAAACUCUUAUGUUCUUUUUGUCCUAUUUUUCUUUCAAUAUUUGAGGGUAUAAUAGUAGUAUUUAAUUGUGCUAUUAAAUUACUAUAGAAGGGAUAUUCUGACUAAGGAAAGACUUGGUAUUUAAGAGAUCCAUGUGAUCCACCUCUCUUCCCUGGGAAUUGAACUUUGUGUGAUUUUUAGUACAAUAAUUUACACGCUUCCGACCCUAUUGGAACAACAGAAAGGUUCAUGACAACACAUGUUGAUUUUGAUGUUAAAGGUAAAAAUUUCGAGUACAUGCCGUUUAGUUUCGGUAGAAGGUCGUGUCCUGGAAUGACGUUUGGGUUGCAAGUUGUGCACUUGACGGUGUCGAAAUUAAUUCAGGGAUUUGAUAUUAGGGUGGCGGAGGGGACCGCGGUGGAUAUGGAAGAAGGCUUGGGAUUUGCCUUACCUAAGUUGAAUCCUCUUGAAGUUGUAUUAUCGCCACGCCUUGGAACUGAGUUUUACGAAUGCCUUUAAGAUGGUGAAAAAUAUAUACUAGAAAUUUAGCGUUUUAUAUUUUGAUUAAAUAAUUAUUGGAUGUGAUAAUGGCAUGGUGAUACAGCUUUUAGUUGAGCAUUAAAUAAGUUUACUGAAUGCACUUGGGAAUAAAUGUAAGCACAUUAUUAAAUUUUAAAGUCGAUAUUAGUAAAAAGAUUUUAUUUGAAUAUCAUGUUUAAUUGGAAUAAAAUUAGACCCGAAAUCUAUAACAAAUUACAACACUUAUGCUUAUAGCCGAGAUAUUCUCAUGAACUACCUGGUUGAAGAAAAGUGUGUUUGACAUUGCCAGGUAAAAUUAUUGUAAGGGAUUGAAAUGUUAAAAAAAAUGUUUAAAAUAAUAAAAG